UCGAAAUCCGCUAAGGAGUGU
rnacentral:snRNA from 1 species